rnacentral:lncRNA from 1 species
GAUAAGUUGGAGUAGACCAUUAGCCAGGAAUACUUUUACUAUCAGUAGAGAUUAUUUCUUGCACAGAUUAAAUAAUAGUGACAGUAUUUUUUCAGAUUUUUGUUUAUCUGUAGCCAGCCACCCUUCAGUUCCCAUCUUUGUAUUAUUUUGUCUCUUCUCUGUUUUCUUCCUAUAGGCAGAUCAAAAACUAAACGAAUUGCAACGUGUUGGUUUUGUUCUGGAAUCAUUCCCUUUAUUCCCUUUAUACAGGAAAAAUAGUUACUGUUGCUAGUUUAAUUUUGCUCACAUCACCCUUUUAGAGGCGGUGGACCAACUGACAAUCCUUUUCCCGCCUGUCUUUGUUUUAUUGCGUCUUAUUUUUGCCUCCACAGAUCUUCUUCUGCCUCCACAGUGCUGAUUCCUGAAAUCGUUAUGCUGGCAGUUUCAUCCAGUAAAGGCUAUUUACCCUACCUGCCUUCCUCCAGGCUGAGACUCCUUGAUUACAAGAGUUUGGUAGUAAAACUGUUUCAUUUCACUAUGCCUCAUAGCCUUCACAAGGAGAAAAAACUGAAGCAAUGUAAGCAAGAGAGAGGUGUGAAAGGAGGGCAAAAGAAUGAAAUCACUCAGGAGCCAAGUGUGGAGAGGUUUCUCAUCCAAGUACCAGCUAGAUUUGUUUGUCUUCAUUCACAUGGAUCCAGGUGAGAGAACUGUUUACAGGCUGGUUUGACAAAUCUGUCAAAGUCUGUCAUUUGGGUCACAGCACUUGCCUCUGCCCUUUUCUGCCUCCUUGUUACUGGUUAUAAUUCCCUGAACAACUUAAAUCUCAGAAUAGCACCUCAUUUAUGUUUAUCUACUAAACAUAACUUAUUCUUAGGAUAUUAUUUCCAGAAUUAUCCUUUAGAAUUUAACACAGUAUGAAUUAGUCUGACAAUAGACACCUCUUUAAUUUAGCUCCUAUUUUGAAAAAAGUUGUUCGUAACCAUUUUUAGGGUGCUGCCCAGGAAAUUACUUAAAACUGACCCUAGAAGGAUUUGAGGUAUUUUGCAACUGGGAAACGAUCACCAGUAAGGGAGUUUCACACAGAUUUAUCCAUAGUUACUUGCAGUACUUACUUAGAUCCUCUCCAGUAAGGUUGUAUGACUCACCAUUAGCUCUUACUCAGCUUGUAAGAUCAUUGGCUCCCAUUUUACCUGUUUAUUACUUGAUGGGCAAUAAGCGUCAUUGCAAUAUAUUUGAUCUACAAAGAUCCAUAUUCUUCUUCAGUUUCUUGGG